rnacentral:rRNA from 1 species
AUUGAACGCUGGCGGCAUGCCUUACACAUGCAAGUCGAACGGCAGCACGGGGCAACCUGGUGGCGAGUGGCGAACGGGUGAGUAAUGCAUCGGAACGUACCUUUCAGUGGGGGAUAACGUAGCGAAAGUUACGCUAAUACCGCAUAUUCUGUGAGCAGGAAAGCAGGGGAUCGCAAGACCUUGCGCUGAUUGAGCGGCCGAUGUCAGAUUAGCUAGUUGGUGAGGUAAAGGCUCACCAAGGCGACGAUCUGUAGCGGGUCUGAGAGGAUGAUCCGUCACACUGGAACUGAGACACGGUCCAGACUCCUACGGGAGGCAGCAGUGGGGAAUUUUGGACAAUGGGGGCAACCCUGAUCCAGCCAUGCCGCGUGAGUGAAGAAGGCCUUCGGGUUGUAAAGCUCUUUCGGCCGGGAAGAAAUCGCACGGGCUAAUACCCUGUGUGGAUAACGGUACCGGAAUAAGAAGCACCGGCUAACUACGUGCCAGCAGCCGCCGUAAUAC